UACGUAGGGCGCAAGCGUUGUCCGGAAUUAUUGGGCGUAAAGAGCUCGUAGGCGGUCUGUCGCGUCUGCCGUGAAAACCCGAGGCUUAACCUCGGGCUGGCGGUGGAUACGGGCAGACUAGAGGUAGGUAGGGGAGAAUGGAAUUCCCGGUGUAGCGGUGAAAUGCGCAGAUAUCGGGAGGAACACCGGUGGCGAAGGCGGUUCUCUGGGCAUUACCUGACGCUGAGGAGCGAAAGUGUGGGGAGCGAACAGG
rnacentral:rRNA from 1 species